rnacentral:rRNA from 1 species
AUGGUGGGAACUCAAAGGAGACUGCCGGUGAUAAACCGGAGGAAGGUGGGGAUGACGUCAAGUCAUCAUGGCCCUUACGAGUAGGGCUACACACGUGCUACAAUGGCAGAUACAAAGAGAAGCGACCUCGCGAGAGCAAGCGGAACUCAUAAAGUCUGUCGUAGUCCGGAUUGGAGUCUGCAACUCGACUCCAUGAAGUCGGAAUCGCUAGUAAUCGUAGAUCAGAAUGCUACGGUGAAUACGUUCCCGGGCCUUGUACACACCGCCCGUCACACCAUGGGAGUGGGUUGCAAAAGAAGUAGGUAGCUUAACCUUCGGGAGGGCGCUUACCACUUUGUGAUUCAUGACUGGGGUGAAGUCGUAACAAGGUAACCGUAGGGGAACCUGCGGUUGGAUCACCUCCUUA